AGCCCCAAACAGCAUCGGACCCUGCAGAGCGGGAGCAGCAGCCAGUGCCGGGGACAGCCGGUGGGACGGUGACACACGUGGCACAGCCAGCACCGGGACGGUGCCAGCCCGUCGGGGUCCACGAGGAGCCACGGCCGCACGCCCAGAGCUGCGGGAACGCCGGAGAGCCGAGGAGCUCGACCUGCCCAGCUUAUCCCCGGGGGGAAAAAGGCGGGGAGAUGAGGGGGAUUUGGAACACGAUGAUCUCUGUUGGUCCCCUCCAACCCAACCCCUGCUUCGGUGGGACCCCAGUGAGGGGGGGCCGCUGCGGGCAGAGCCCCUGGCACCCCCGGGACCCUCCGGCUGGCAGCGUAGCUGGGCCAGGAGCCACUCAAACUGGCAACCAGGUACGGGCUUUGAGCUGGGGAGGGCGGUUAACCGCGGGAACAGGCCCAACCAGUGCCCUGCCGAGCCCCGCGGCGGGGAAGUGGGACGGCGCCUCGGCCCCACGUCCCCCGGGGCGCCCCUUGCCUGGCUGGGGCUCAGACCGCACUGACACCCCCAAAGCCACGCGCGUGGCCUGGAGGGGCGAGCGGGUCCCGGAGCGAACCGCCGCCGCCGCCAAACCCCGCGCCCAAAUGCCGCCGGGGCACGCGCUAGGCUGGCACACGCGUGUGCCAGCCACACGCAACACGCGUGCCGGCGGCUCCCCGGCAAGCCCACGCGCUUUACCCCCCGGGGAGCUCGCAGGGUGCUGCACGCUAAUGGCCUGGCGCAGGCAGGGAGCAGGCAGGGAGCAGGCAGGGAGCAGGCAGGGAGAAGGCAGGGAGAAGGCAGGACCCGUGGGAAGGCGUGGGGCAGCGACGCACAGCCCUAAAGACACCUGUAGGAAAACCGCCCCCCGAAGCAUCACCGGCCGUCACGGUGACGGCAGCCCGGUGGCCCCGCGGGGGGCAACGGUGGCCACGGGCAGGGGCGUCCCCCCUUUCCUCGAGAGGCGGCGGGUGCUGUGUGCCACGGCGAGGAAGUUUCGCGCUGAGUCAGCAC
rnacentral:lncRNA from 1 species